AAACAGUUAGUUUAUAGUAUGGAGGAGGGGACUUGAAAAAUCAAAAGCUGUACACACUUGCGUAAACGUAGAAGAUUAGAACUGGCCCUCUCUUAACAAUGCUCUAGCUGUCUAGAGUGCGUCUUUGACCUGCUCCGCUAUCUAACUCCUACGCGUUUUUUGCUUCGUUCUCUCCAAAUUUUUUCUUUCCUUUACCCUUUUCAUUCUUUCUCAUUGUCUCUUCCCUCGUUUCUUCUCUCAUUUUCUCUGCACUUUGAUCAAUAUAUAUAUUCCAAGCUAGCUAACUUUGUUGUACUUGUCUCAGCUUGUAUGUUUUAUCUGCCAGAGUAAUAGGGUUGCUGAUUGCUGCAAGAAAAAUGGUUCAAAUCAAGGAAUUCCGAAUUGUCAUGCCUAUGUCACUGGAAGAGUAUCAGAUGGCCCAAAUGUACAUGGUAAUGAAGAUGCAGCAACAGAAUACUAGUAGGACUGAGGGUGUUGAAGUCUUGGAGAAUAGACCCUUGGAGGAUGACGUAUUUGGAAAGUGCCAAUACACAUCCAAGGUUUAUCGGUUGCAAAGGCCUAGAAGAAAAUGAGUUCAGGAAGAUGGUGCUGAAUUGGUGUCCCGUGUCGGCAGGAAACCUUGUUUCCCUUUUUUCUUCUUCCUGACCUGUUUGUUUACUAGGUAACAACAUUGAUUAGAUGAGACCUGAGACUGAGAGUGAAUGCUUUUUUAAGGUGUCAAAGCAUUCAUAGAACAUAAGGGAUUUCUCUGGUGCCAACAUUAAUGGUUGUUAAAUUUUAAUUUUUUAAAACGCUAAAGAUGGCUGCUGGUAAUCAGUCGAUACAUUCUGUUCACUUCAAGAUUAUGAGGGUUCAAGAUGUUGCAGCAUGCAACUAUUUAGUGGGUUUAAUUAUUCAGCAGGUGAUUAGAGGAGCAUGAGUGGCUGUACUGACGCUACAAAUUACUUCUGGUUAGUCUUUUACUCUUAUGGUUACCCAUACCGAUGUAUUAAAUGUGGUUGAGGUAGGAUACUUGCAGCUUAUGUAUUGGAUAGAAGAUUUCUUUCCCCCUGAUUAAUGUCAAAUUUUAGUGAGAGAUGGUUUAGUUGGCUUUGAUUGAAUUUUUCGGCCUUUAGAUGAUGGUUGUUGCGUAAUUUCCAGUUCCAGUUUGGAGGAGACUUACAUGCUCAAUGCAUGAACUUCUCUCUCUCUCUCUCUCUCUCUCUCUCUCUCUCUCUCAAUCCCCUUUUACUUUUUUUUUUUCCAGCAAACCUUCGUGGCUUAUGUUAAUUAUGAACUGUAUCGUAAAAUGUAUUCAUGGCCUUUUUGUUUUCUGUUCUUUUUUAUUUAUUUUAUUUGUUUUUCUUUUUAAUAAAAUGUUGCACAUAAAAGUUCAAAGCUGGUGGUGCUAAUCUCCUUUUCUUGCAUUUCUUUUUGCAGCAAAGCUCCUACUUGGCUUACGGCUUUUGCACCAGCAGAUGCCCUCAUCAUGCAAGAAGAAGCUUGGAAUGCAUACCCAAAAUGCAAAACAAGUUUGGCUUCUCUUGCCACAGUCUUUGUGUUCUUUAUUUAUUUCUAGAGCUUGUGUUAGUUAACUUGUAUUGACAUAUUUUUGUUUGUUCCUUGCAAAUGGAUUCUGUACAACAGUAAUCAAGAACCCAUACUUCACCAAGUUUUCUUUAACGGUUGAAACUAUUCAUAGGGCUGACAAUGGUCAAUCAGAAAAUGUACAUGGUUUAACCAAAGAACAACUAGCAGCCAGGCAGGUUGAAUAUAUUGAUAUAGCCUCAGCAGAAACUGACUAUUGGAGUUAUGUCGUUGGAAGGAACAGUGUGGACUUCUCUAAUUUCAAAUCUGCAAGAACUGGCCGUGGUCCACUUAUGGAUGGAUGGCAGGAUAUAUGUAAACCUGUCAUGACAGCAUACAAGUUGGUAACAGUAGAUGCACCAUAUUGGGGCUUUGGUUAUCAACUUGAAUGGGCUUUACUAUCGGGUGAAAGGGCACUUUUCUUAGAGAGCCAUCGGAAUUGUUUUGGUUGGAUUGAUGAAUGGUUUGGGAUGUCAAUGCAACAAAUACGUGAACUUGAAUUACAGAAUGAUUUUUCAUUAAAUAAGUAGGAUUAUUUUCAAACUCUUGAUGAGAAAAUUUUAAUACGAUUUGCAAUGAAAGAUGUUUGAUUUUGCGAAAGCAUCUUUAAGUAGACCAAUCCAUAUUAUAUCAUAUCAUAUCAUAUCAUAUCAUUAAACAAGCUAAAUAAUGUUGUCUUUAUACUAUGACAACAGAAAAUUGGAAAGCCAACUGUUAUGAUAACUUCUGAAGCCUUUGAUCAGAAGUCUCUUCUUGACAAUGAAGAUCCUCACAGCAAGAGAUUUCAACCUAAACCUGGGAAGCAUGAACUUGUCGUCGAUACGUAAAGUGCAAGAGACAGAUACAUUAGGCUGCAAAAAUGGGAUGGUAUUCUCCAACUUGUAAAUGUUGUAAUGUUGUGAUAAUUGUUCGUUUGAUUCCUUAGUGAUUCUUGAGAAAUAUUGUAAAUUUGAUGAUAGCAGAUACAUAGUCCAUCUGGAGUUAAUAGUUAUAUGUAUACACUGGGAAAAUUCUUUA